UCCAUGUUCCGGUAGAGGAUAACUGUGCAGCAGGAGGGUGUUUGAUAUCUGUAUCAGUCAAUACCUUCUCCUUGCCUUACACUGUACACUGAAAGAGACCUGCUGAGAUUUAUUUCUGGAAGACCCUUGUCAAGGCAAAGUUAAUUUACCUCUUGUUGAUUGGCUAAAAAGCUCAGAGGCUGCUUUGGUUGAUUUGUUUUUUCUUCAAUUGCUAAAAUCUUGCAGUUGUCUUUCUGUUUGGAGCAGGUGCAAAGAAGACGUAAACUCCCAUUAGAUCAAUCCAGGGAGAUUUAGAUCCUUGAGAUCAGUUGUUUUGCCUUUGGCUCCUCCUCUGCAAUAAGGGCUCAAAACGCACAACGUUGGACACACUUUGUUGAACUUCAGAAGAGACACCAGUUCAGCAUCUGGUCGGCUUUUGUUCUCUCCCAGCAAAAAUCAAGGAUGAAUCGAGAUGAGAAGAUCAAGCCCCUGGAUGUGGAACCUCUGUUCAUGCGAUUCCUUCGGACACUCAAACAAGUCCUCAAAUUUGUUCUCCUCAGCUACACAGUGAUAUUUGGUGCUUUGCUUCUGGCCAGGUGGACCACUUACUUUAUAUUGGGAAAGUGAAAGGAGAAAAAAGAAGAAUGGUCUUCUUUUUGGAGUUAGAGCUGAGACUGAUUGAACCAGCCCUCCUGGGAGUCAAUGUUUAAUGCAGUUGCUAGAAAAUAAGAGAAAGAGCCAAAAGGAUUUGUGAUAUUUUCCUCCUCUAUGUCUAAUUUGGACUCUGUUUUGUGUGUUUUUUUUAAACUGGCCUUUACAGCUUCAACGUAAUGUAUGAUUGUUAAUGUUGAGAUCACAUUUGCAAUUUAUAAUUCAUGUAUUGUAUGACAGCUUCAAUGGAUGCUAUUAAACAUGUUUCUAUGGUUGUGAAUA